AGGGAUGUAGCGCAGCUUGGUAGCGUAUUUGUUUUAGGUACAAAAUGUCGCAGGUUCAAAUCUUUUCAUCCCUA
rfam:Picea glauca, whole genome shotgun sequence.